GAUGAAGAACGCAGCGAAAUGCGAUAAGUAAUGUGAAUUGCAGAAUUCAGUGAAUCAUCGAAUCUUUGAACGCACAUUGCGCCCGCCAGUAUUCUGGCGGGCAUGCCUGUCCGAGCGUCAUUUCAACCAUCAAGCCCCGGGCUUGUGUUGGGGACCUGCGUCCGACGCAGGCCCUGAAAACCAGUGGCGGGCUCGCUGUCCACACCGAGCGUAGUAACUAACCUCGCUAUGGAGUGGCGCGGGCGCCUGCCGUAAAACCCCCAAUUUUUACAAGGUUGACCUCGGAUCAGGUAGGAAUACCCGCUGAACUUAAGCAUAUCAAUAAGCUGAGGA
rnacentral:misc_RNA from 1 species